GAGGGUGUAGCUCAGUGGUACAGCAUUUGCCUAGCUCUACACAAGUACAAGGCUCUAGGUUCAAUCCCUAAUACCAUCA
rnacentral:tRNA from 1 species